rnacentral:misc_RNA from 1 species
GCUACUGCUGCUGAGGGACCAAUAAUUCCUUCUGUAGCUGUGAAUUAUACUCAACUUUUAAUUAAUGGGCAGUUCGUUGAUGCGGCCUCAGGGAAGACUUUUCCAACAUAUGAUCCUAGGACUGGGGAAGUGAUCGCCCAUGUUGCUGAAGGUGAUCUUGACGAUAUAAAUCGAGCAGUCUCUGCUGCUCGCAAGGCAUUUGAUGAAGGACCAUGGCCAAAGAUGACUGCUUAUGAAAGGUCAAGGAUUAUGUUACGCUUUGCUGAUUUAAUUGAUAAGCAUAAUGAUGAAAUUGCAACACUCGAGACUUGGGAUAAUGGGAAACCAUAUGAGCAGGCUGCUAAAAUCGAAGUACCAAUGGUUGCACGUCUAUUUCGAUACUAUGCUGGUUGGGCGGAUAAGAUUCAUGGUCUUGUAGUUCCAGCUGAUGGGCAGCAUCAUGUGCAAACCUUGCAUGAACCAAUUGGUGUUGCAGGUCAGAUUAUUCCAUGGAAUUUUCCUCUUCUCAUGUUUGCAUGGAAGGUUGGACCAGCAUUAGCAUGUGGCAACACUGUUGUUAUCAAGACAGCAGAGCAGACACCAUUAACUGCACUCUAUGCAGCUAAACUAUUUCAUGAGGCCGGACUUCCAGAAGGUGUUCUGAAUGUGAU